GGGAGGGAAGGGCAACCAGGGAGCGAGGUCUGAGUCCCUGGUUCCAAAAUCUGCACGGUAAUUAGAAACACACAUGAGACGAAAUAGAGCCAUUUUCUACCUGCAGAUCAAUCUUUCCAGUCCAGACUCGUUAACUGAUGCAAAAAAGGAUGCUUUGGAGCCUUCAGCCUCCUCCUGUUAAUAGACGGCCUGUGAACGCCAUGUCUUUGCAGAGACGCCCUGUCCAUACAGAACUUUCCUCCGGCAGGUCACUGAGAAGCCUUCCUCACAGAGAAGUUGAUUUGUGAUUUUCCCUUCAGGACAAUCGUUGCCCCAGGUCUGGGUCUAUUUUGAGCAAAUGAUACCAAUAAAGUUGAUAGGAGAGGCGGAGAGCUUUGCCCGCGACGCUGGCACUUGAGUGGCCCCGUGGGCUUUUCUGCACCAAGCAAAGAAGUCUGGCUUUAGUCAUGAGAAACGCUCAGUGACAAGGGUAAGAGGAAGGACCGUGAAUAUGAGGCACCCAUAACCUAGAAAGAGGCGAAGCAAGGGUGCUGUGAGCGAAAACCCCAGGGGAUGACUGAGUCCAGAAACACAGUGAAAAGCAAGCCAGCUGCAGUUUCACUCUGUGUUCUGCUUAAGCCUAACGAUGCUCUGCCUGGAGACGGGGGCACGGAACAAAGGGCGCCUGUCAGCGCUGGCAGGCCCCGCCACAGCCUUCCCAGCCUGCAGCGUUCUCGAGGAACACGGACACUCAGACUGGCGUAAGGGCCGGUGAUGGGGCGUUCUUGUAGACGUCCCGUCUUUCCAGAUUAUUGGCAGGGCAAAGUGUAACUCCUAGGAUGGGGGAAUCUCUGGACAUUGUGACACUUUGAAACCAAUGUUCGCCCUCAGCCUCUGAGGUGCUCCGGGCUUCCCCGGCAUUAUCUCAUCGUGCAGACCCGCAAGUCCCACACUUUCUCUAUGAAGAGUGCUACCCCUCGAAAAGAGUGCCUGGUCCCAGCACUUUCACUGGGAAUCCCUUCCAAACUUCAGGGUUCCUGCUGCUGCUAUAUAAACCUUUCCAGAGCUUUGAAAAGACUUCUUUUUUUUUUUUAACAAAGUCAACAGAAGUACAGUAUUGAAAUGUGAUGAAAAUACCGCCCAGGUGCACACACACACACUCAAAACUCAGACUCAUCCAAGUGCCUCGAUUUACGCUCAUGUAUUAAAGCUGUACUUACAACAACAACAGGUAAAAUCAAGGUGCAUCUAAAAGAUGAUUCUUCGUGACCACGCAUGAGGAGCCACGUGUACAAAGAAAGCUUUCAAUUAAAAAAUAUAUACCAUACAAGUGGGUCAGGGGAUAAGGAAGAGUUUAUUGACACAGGAACAAUCUCUAAGGCUUGAGAAUUUAAUUACUUAGCAAGGAUCAGGAAGAUGCAGGCGACAUUGCAAGGUAACUCUGGAAAUUUUUUUUUUAAAAUACAUAUUUGUGUACACGUAUAUGCUAUUAAUAGAUAAUAAGCUGAUUCUACCUCAGUAUUAAGAAGAUAAGACAACUAAUUAAAACACCGGAAGAUUUGAAGGACACUUUACAGA